AUUAUAUUUUCUCUUCUUUUUGUGUUUUUCAUCUUCGUUUUUCACCUAAAAUCAUUCUUUUUCCUGAUUUAUGAUGGAUGUGAAAUUUUUUUUCAAUCUCUCUUGUUGGGGAUUGGGUAUAUCAAUCAGAAACGGAAGACGCGUACGCAGAUGAGUUGGAAACGACUGGAAAAGCGAAAAAAAAGCACCGAAAAACGUUGCGCCACCUUGAUUACUCUCUCGCGGAAGACAAAGGCUCGGUAGGAUAGGUUGGUCCUUGAGCUGCUUGUGUCAGCACAAAGGAGAGUUGUAUUGAUCCCUCAAGGAACGAUCCAGACAUGGGUGACUCAGACAAAUGCGGGUUGUAUAUCGAAAAAAUCCUUCCUGCCUAGUUGUCUUAGGAAAAGUUUAUGAGGGAUCCACAAUCGUUCACAACAUUCCUUUGUUGUAUGAUAAAGUCAAGGUUGGUGUUGAAGAGGUUAGAGAUGCAGAUACUCUCAUUCCUGUACCCACUGAAGAGGUUAAGGUCAUAGAGCAGACACUUAACACCUUCCUUGCUUGGUCGACACAUCUUGUCAAGCGUUUAUCAGAACAUGAAGUUGUGGGACCCGCGAAACCUGCAAAUUGGCCGGAUCAUGAGGUCGAUGAUCCCCAAUAUCUGAUGACAUUGACCAUCCCACAACUUUUUCUGAAGCCGUUGUAGGUUAUGUGGGAUGCUACCUUGUUUGGCCUGUUUAAUGAAGACUUUCUCUUAUAUAUAAAGCAUGAAGAUCUGUCUGAAAUAGCACAUGAUGGUCAAUGUCUCAGCAUCUCUAUUAUACAGUUAUGGAUUCUGCAUAUGACUGAGACAAGUAUGCGAGUGGGGAAUAACAAUGUGUAUGGAUUCCUCUAGCUACAGUCUAUCCAGAGAUCUGGCCAAUUGCAAUCUGAAUUAGAAAGUUACAUUAAGAACUGGAUGCAAAAUUCAAAACGGAAUGUGUACCUAGAAGCCUACCUAAAUGGUAUUUCACUGAUGCUAAACCAUUGGAACCAGAGAGAUUGAAGGUGUUUCGUAUACAGUGGACAAAGUACUAUUUGAAAGUUAAAAAUAAAACUUAGGGUGUUUAGACAAUUUUGUAAUUGUAGUUUAUAUUUACUCACUUUACAUUUUUUACAAUUCAUGUCUUAACAUUAAAUAUGCUUUUAAUUCAUAGUAAUUAGUAAAUUUCUCAUGGAA